rnacentral:misc_RNA from 1 species
CCGAGUUGCAAAACUCCCAAACCCAACCGUCUACCUAUACCAAAACGUUUGCUUCGGCGGGCGGCCCCAGGGCGGGGCCGACGCCUGCGCUCCGGCGCGGCGCCCGCCGGAGGAGACAACCAUAAACUCUUGUUGUUUCAGUAGAACUCUGAGCCUACAGACAAUAGUCA